AUGAACGCUGGCGGCGUGCCUAAUACAUGCAAGUCGAGCGAACAGAUGAGGAGCUUGCUCCUCUGACGUUAGCGGCGGACGGGUGAGUAACACGUGGAUAACCUACCUAUAAGACUGGGAUAACUUCGGGAAACCGGAGCUAAUACCGGAUAAUAUAUUGAACCGCAUGGUUCAAUAGUGAAAGACGGUUUUGCUGUCACUUAUAGAUGGAUCCGCGCCGCAUUAGCUAGUUGGUAAGGUAACGGCUUACCAAGGCAACGAUGCGUAGCCGACCUGAGAGGGUGAUCGGCCACACUGGAACUGAGACACGGUCCAGACUCCUACGGGAGGCAGCAGUAGGGAAUCUUCCGCAAUGGGCGAAAGCCUGACGGAGCAACGCCGCGUGAGUGAUGAAGGUCUUCGGAUCGUAAAACUCUGUUAUUAGGGAAGAACAAAUGUGUAAGUAACUAUGCACGUCUUGACGGUACCGAAUCAGAAAGCCACGGCUAACUACGU
rnacentral:rRNA from 1 species